rnacentral:ncRNA from 1 species
CAAGGUGCGAUAGACGCAACCUUGGUGGUUGCAAUGGGGGGGAUGUCGGUUAUUGUUAUUCUCAUGGUUUUGGCUAUGGGGGAUUUCCUGGUGCUUUUCAAUACUCCUGCUACUUGGCUUUCCUGUAAAAAGGGUAAAGGCAUCUGUUGUACCUGGUGAGGCUUGGUGAGGCAUGCGUCGGGGUUGUUAAGCGACCUAUGGCGACGAAGGCUUCUAGUUGUAAGGUGAGCUAAGGCAUAAGGUGAAAUUUGAAAGGCUAAGGCAGAAGGGGUUCAAGGUGCGAUAGACGCAACCUUGGUGGUUGCAAUGGGGGGGAUGUCGGUUAUUGUUAUUCUCAUGGUUUUGGCUAUGGGGGAUUUCCUGGUGCUUUUCAAUACUCCUCCUGUUACUUGGCCCAUCUUUAUGAGUCCAUUGGAUAGGAUGGAGAAAUAAACAGAAAAUGAAUUAAUCGAAUUGGAGUCUAUAAGUAGGUUGACCCCAUGGAGAAAAUAUCGACGGGAGAUAGCAUAUAUUAUGUUGUAUAGUAUGCAUCCACUCUAUUAUCACGUCUUCCUCAACAUGAGGCAGAUGCUCCCAAAACCCGUGAGAUUAUUGAAGGUCUUCUUUAUAUGGUGCAUAAUAAAAAAAUAGAAGAGAGAAAAGGCAAAGGCAUGGACAUAGCUCGUUCCAGGUAAGGUUGACCCAGUUGGACUUAAAGUCACAAUCCCACAAGUAGCGGGUCUCUUACCUAGUGGUCACUUCCCUACAAGGUGUCAUUUCAUUAAUCGGUUCUCUAACCUAGUGGUCUCGGAAGGUCGCAGUGUACAGGCUUGGGCGACUAUUUACCAAAAAAGAAGGUCUCUGCAAAGUCGUAAGACCAUGUAUGGGGGAUGAAGCCUUCCCAGUGUCGAAAGGUUAAGGAAGUUGGUGACCUGAUGACGGGGAAUCCAGCGACCGAAGCCCCAGUGAAUGACGGUCGUAACUAUAACGGUCCUAAGGUAGUGAAAUUCCUUGUCGGGUAAGUUUCGACCCACACGAAAGGUGUAAUGAUCCGGUCACUGUCUCGGAGAGAGACUCGAUGAAAUAGACAUGUCUAUGAAGAUGCAAACUUCAAUAAGUAAAAGCAUCUUUUAACCAA